GACGAACGCUGGCGGCGGGCUUAACACAUGCAAGUCGAACGGGAAGUCCUCUUUCGGGGGGUACUCGAGUGGCGAACGGGUGAGUAACACGUUAGUAACCUGCCCUUGACUUGGGGAUAACUUCAGGAAACUGGUACUAAUACCGGAUAGGAGCUCCUGCGGCAAGGGGGGGGUUGGAAAGUUUCGGCGGUUGGGGAUGGACUCGCGGCUGCUCAGCUUGCGGGCGGUGUAGUGGCUUACCAAGGCUUUGACGAGUAGCCGGCCUGAGCGUGUGACGGGCAACAGUCGGACUGGGACUGAGCCAAGACUCAGACGGGAGGGAGCAGUGGCGGUGAUUGAACUAUGGGUGUAGGCCUGAUGCAGCACCGGCGAGUGCGCGAGGACGGCCUUGGCGUUGUAGUCCGCUAGCGCUCAUGACGAAGAUGUGUGUGACGGUAGUAGGUAAAGAAGCACCGGCUAACUACGUG
rnacentral:rRNA from 1 species